rnacentral:tRNA from 1 species
GCCGGGGUGGCGGAACGGUAGACGCGGCGGACUUAAAAUCCGUUGCCCGCAAGGGCGUGAGAGUUCGAGUCUCUCCCUCGGCACCA